CCCCUGUCAUCUAUCAAAGCCACAAAGCUAAGCACUCGCCUAAGUGUACAUGAUAUGGGAAUGGUAGGAUGAUCCAUCUAACUAUACCAAUCAAGAAAGAGGAUUGAAAAUGUAAGAACAAACAGAACAAACAGAAAAAGCAAGAGAAAGGUCCUGCUACUGCUAUUCCGCUGUAUAGCUUGAGACAACUCUUUGUUACCAAGCUCAACAUUCUUUGUAGCUUCAACUGCCUGUUCAUACAGAAGCU
rnacentral:misc_RNA from 1 species